UUCAUGGCAACCCCUGGGGGGGUUGAUUUGCCUACAACUCUCCUCACCCAACUCAGCCCCUCUUGGUUUCCACAUUCCUUGAUAAUUACAGCCAAACCCAGCAUCUUUCUCAGAAACACAAAACCCUAGUGCAACAUCUUACACACAAUUCUUCCAUGAAAUACGAGUUCGUGAGUGUUACAGGAUGCGCUCACAUACCUGGACCUGAGUGAUCUGACCAGCGGAGUUUGUCCUGAGGCUCUAUUCUUUCUCAGUGACCCAUGAGAUGCUGAACAAAUUAGAGGUGUUCUAUAUUCAGCAUAUGAUUGACUGCCGAUGAAAUAUGACUCAGAGCCCAGAGGUGCAGUACAGAACGGGAUGAUUAAGAAGCUGAGGGAUCAUUUCACAUUCCAAAUGUAUAGUAUGAUAGCUGGAGGAAAUUGUAUCAGCUUCAGUGUAAGUAUUUUUCUCUUCUCUUGUCUUCCCUCCAUGCAGUUGUGGGCUGAGGCUCCCGGAACAUGUUGCUACAAUGAGAGUAAGACGUAGAAGCCUCCUGAUCAGCCUGUUGUCUCUCCGUGCUCAAGGGUAUGGGAUGUGCAUGUGUGUGUGUUUGUAUGUGUGAAUAUCAUUCUUUUAGUUGUGUAAUACAAUAAUUAGAAAACACGGAGGCUAAGUGAUCUGGGAAGGACCAUCCAGCAACUCACCAACACUCAAAACUGAGUGUCCUAUAAUUUCAGUCCUGUAAUUUUCAAAGACUUUUAGACAUACUGAGCCUUUGCUGUUUCUCCUAUAAAGCAAAAUGCAGGCUCUAAGAGUUGCCUUAAUGUAGGUGGUCAACUGAUUAGAAACAUGUUCAGGUAGGUGUAGGCAGAAAAUAUACAGACACAUGUGCUGUUGGGGUGGUUUUUCUGUUGUGAGAAAAGGUUUUCUGUUUAAGGGCAAACUUAUUAAAAUGAAGCUGCAUCCACACUCUACUAAAAGUUACCAUCUUUGUUGAUUCAUUCAAGAGGUCGGUUCAAUUAAAGAAAAAAAAAAGUCCUACAAAUCAACUCUUUUGAAUUGGCUAAUCAAUCUUUUUUUUUUUUUUUAAAGUAGCUCUGGCAUUUCUAUAUCAGCCCAUACCCUGUUAUGUUCUCUCUUCAUGACUGAUUUUAUAUUUCUUUUCAUACGGAUUUUUUAUCGUGUUCAUUUCAGGACCCAAAUAGAUAUUCCUUAGUGUGUACCAGAGUCAUUUUGGUUCUAAAUCAUUCUAUUUCUCUGUAGGUGCCCAUUCUCGGCCACUGAUAACUUUGCCCCAUCUGUUUAAUCCAUUUUCUGGUUUAUUAAGUACUGGGACUAUUUCUUUGGUGACAAAGCCCUCAAACUAUGCAUCACUGAUUUUCUAUUUUUGAAGCCCUGGAAUUUUCCUUGUUGGGACAUUGAGUGCUUCAUUUCUAAUUAGGCUUUCCUUCUUACUCAUAUUUGGCUUUGCUUUAUCAAUAAAUUACACAACCAAUAAUUGGGAACA
rnacentral:lncRNA from 1 species